UUCCUUGUAGCUUUCAUCAUUUUCAUCGUGCGUAGACAAAUAACACGACGGCACCAGAAGAUGGAGGAAGAAGUGGAAGAUUUUGGAAACCUACAAGGAACACCAAUGAGGUUCACGUUUCAACAGUUAGAAGUAGCAACCGAGAAAUUCAGAGACAAGCUCGGGGAAGGAGGAUUUGGGUCUGUUUUCAAGGGACAGCUUGGUGACGAAACAAUUGCAGUGAAACGUUUGGAUCGAGCCGGUCAGGGAAAACGAGAAUUUCUGGCAGAGGUCCAGACAAUCGGCAGCAUCCACCAUAUCAAUCUAGUGAGGCUGAUAGGUUUCUGUGCAGAGAAAUCUCAUAGGCUCUUGGUUUAUGAGUAUAUGCCCAAAGGAUCUUUGGACAACUGGAUCUAUUAUCGACACGACAACAGUGCUCCUCCUCUGGAAUGGAGGAUGCGAUGCAAGAUUAUUGCUAACAUAGCUAAGGGCCUCUCUUAUCUUCAUGAGGAGUGCAUGAAGAGAAUUGCUCAUUUGGAUGUCAAACCACAAAAUAUCCUCUUAGAUGAAAACUUCAAUGCUAAGCUUUCUGAUUUUGGACUCUGCAAACUAAUUGAUAGGGAUACGAGUCAAGUAGUUACUAGAAUGAGAGGCACACCUGGCUAUUUAGCUCCUGAAUGGUUGACAUCACAGAUCACGGAAAAGGCCGAUGUCUAUAGCUUUGGUGUUGUGGUCAUGGAAAUCAUCAGUGGAAGAAAGAACCUCGAUACUUCCCGAUCUGAAGAGAGUCUGCAUCUUAUUUCCAAGUUGGAAGAAAAGGUGAAGAGUAAUCACUUGGAAGAUUUGAUUGACAAGAACAGUAAUGACAUGCAAGAACAUGAGCAUGAAGUAAUUGAGAUGAUAAAGCUCGCAAUGUGGUGUCUGCAGAUUGAUUGCAAAAGAAGGCCUCAAAUGUCUUAGGUCGUCAAAGUCUUGGAAGGUACCAAGAAUGCAGAGACCAACAUAGAGCACAGCUUUGUUGCUACAAAUCAAGUGAAUUUUGGUAUUGCUGGAAAUAUGACCUCCUCAGCUCCACCUCUAGCCUCAGAUGUGUCAGGUCCAAGGUGAACUGAGAGAAUCCUGACAGGAUAGAAUUAGAUUUGUUCAGGAGAGUGUCUUAUGUAAUACAAAGGCCAUGGUUGUUGUAUUUUCUCAAAUUACUACAAUCUAAAGCCCUUCAUGUUGAGUUUUUUUUUUGGUGUGUAGAAUAUCUCAACGUGUCCUUUGAUCUAAACAGAUGAAGAGCUCUUUAGGAACAUUACAGUUGUUUUGUAUUUUCAUAAGAAGAAAAAGACAAGUUAUGCAAGCAUGCCUAGUUUUAAUAGGGAAAGAUAUCAUUGUGUUCCUUACUUUGUUCAGUUUCUCUCUUUAACGCAAAUCUGUUUCUGGUUAUUGUAAUUGAAACUAACAGCAUGCUUCAAAAUGCUGCUUGCUUCAAUAAAGCAGGAAACGGAAUGUGAAGAAGUAAUCUGGAAGUUUGAGGGUCUAACAAAUGAAAAUGAAUUAGUAACCACAAGUGCUUUGGGUUCUAUAUAAUUUCUACCAGGAUAGUAUGACACAGGUAGUGAUGUAAAUUAAGGUUUCGAAGGUCAAAAAAUGCCUCGGAUCUAUAUCAAUUCAUAGCAACAAAACUAUAAAAUGCUACAUAUAUUUGUAACUACUGUUCUUUCAACUCCAGAUAACCUACUUUUCAUAGUUGAUAGCCAAUCUUUGUUCCAUUGACCCUGCUAGAGGAUAUUUUAAUAAUAUCAGUCCAGGGAAUUAGGCCUUUGGGCUUGCAAUGCUGUGUGCAAGGGAUCAGAGCAUCGCCACACUGACUCCAGCUAAAGGAACAGUGAGCCACAUUGCACCGGAACCAUACUCUGGAGCUUUGGGACAAUAUCCUACAAGAAGGAGGUGCUGGAAAUGGUGAGGAGGAGGAGUCAGAUCCACAGAUUAAGAUCAAACCGAAGUUUAUAUUCCAGAGAUGAUAUACAAAAUAACAAUCACGAUGCCAGAACUGGAAUCGACAGGUGACAUGGCUGAAGAAGAGAAUGGGAUGAUAAGUUGAUCACCCAUAUAUGGCCAAAGUGGUGUUAACAGGAAGCUUUCAGAGUCUAGGGGUGCCUCCUAAGCCAUAUGUUCAUAUCCGGGACACCCUAUGCUGCACAUUUAGCAAAAAAUAUUAGUACACUGAUUCUGAAAAUGUUUGAGACUUGGUAUGCUGCAGUAAUGCCUAGUGCACAUCCGCUUGAUUUUCAGCUCAAUUAGCAUUCCUAUAGUAAAGCCUAUGGCAUCAGCUAAAGGUGUGUCAGGAGUUGCUGUUUUACGAUGCAUCAUCACUAGUGUGGCCUGUUUCCAUCCUUGACAUGGUGUACCCGACUAGCCACCAUCACUCAAAAGUCAAAAGAGAGUGAAGAGGAUGGUUCACCUUCUGGAUGCGGAGGAGGUCAAAGACGGCAGUGAGGUGCCCCCAAGGGGACUCGCUGCAGACAAGAGCGGCUGAGAGAAACAGAACUGCAAAGAAAGGACAGUGGCGGCGUGCCACAGAAGUGUCUGGCGACCGGAAGCCUUGGGCAGCUGCCGUCGCCGGAGCUCCGUCGAGAGGUGGGAAGGCACAGAAGCGUAAUUGGAGCGAACAGCGGCCCAGCAAGUUAGGCAUCUCCAAGGCAAAGCAGAAUUUCUGUUGACAAUUACAACUACGUAUAUUCACUAUUCAAGUCUUGUAGUAAUAAUUUGUUGUUUUGUACAGGGCUUGUAUGGUCAUAAUUUUGCAUCAAAUGUUGCAUGUUUACGUCCUGAUGAACAACCAUUUUUUUUCAGAAUUUUUUUCACAGCCUUUUGAAAUAGACGAAGAGAAAGGGUCUAUAAUGUGUAUGUUGAUGCAAGUCAAGAAAAUCUCCUUUUAUAUAUCCCUCCCAUGAAAACAAUACAUGCUUCCCUAAAAAUAACAGAACUAUACAUGCUUGUAACCUACUCCGUACUAUAUAUAUAGCUCCCCCCAUGUAUUGAAAAAUUAUAAGUCAAUUCAGUUUUCAGUACAGAGGAUUAUAACGGGUUAUAGAGAGAUUGGAGAGGAUAACACAUAAAAGGAUAGGAAAAGAGAUGUCAACCUCAAGUGUACAAGGAAAGCAGGAGAAGCUGACAAAGAUGAGGAGGCUUUUCACCACCCUCGUUUGCACGCAGAUGACAAAGUUACGAAAGCGAGAGAAACUUUGGCCCCAUAGUUG
rnacentral:lncRNA from 1 species